rnacentral:misc_RNA from 1 species
CAUAUGCCCUUUGACAAAACAAGUAAUGCAGGAUCCUGUUACUCUGGAAAAUGGCAUGACUUUUGAGAGGGAAGCUAUUGAGAAAUGGUUCAAGGAGUGUAGGGAUAGUGGAAGAAAGCCUGUUUGCCCUUUAACACAUAGAGAUCUGAAAAGCACAGAGCUGAAUCCAAGUAUAGCUCUACGAAAUACCAUUGAAGAAUGGAAUGCAAGGAAUGAAGCUGCACAAAUUGAUAUGGCUCGCAGAUCAUUAUCUAUGGGUAGUGCGGAGGG